UGGGGAAUAUUGCACAAUGGGCGCAAGCCUGAUGCAGCCAUGCCGCGUGUGUGAAGAAGGCCUUCGGGUUGUAAAGUACUUUCAGCGGGGAGGAAGGGAGUAAAGUUAAUACCUUUGCUCAUUGACGUUACCCGCAGAAGAAGCACCGGCUAACUCCGUGCCAGCAGCCGCGGUAAUACGGAGGGUGCAAGCGUUAAUCGGAAUUACUGGGCGUAAAGCGCACGCAGGCGGUUUGUUAAGUCAGAUGUGAAAUCCCCGGGCUCAACCUGGGAACUGCAUCUGAUACUGGCAAGCUUGAGUCUCGUAGAGGGGGGUAGAAUUCCAGGUGUAGCGGUGAAAUGCGUAGAGAUCUGGAGGAAUACCGGUGGCGAAGGCGGCCCCCUGGACAAAGGCUGACGCUCAGGUGCGAAAGCGUGGGGAGCAAACAGG
rnacentral:rRNA from 1 species